CGCGUAGGUGGUCCUUCAAGUCAGAUGUUAAAUCUCCUGGCUUAACUGGGAGUGGUCAUUUGAUACUGCUGGACUUGAGGGCGGUAGAGGGAGGUGGAAUUCCCGGUGUAGUGGUGAAAUGCGUAGAUAUCGGGAGGAACACCAGUGGCGAAAGCGGCCUCCUAGGCCGUUCCUGACACUGAGGCGCGAAAGCGUGGGGAGCGAACAGGAUCAGAUACCCUGGUAGUCCACGCCCUAAACUGUGGAAACUAGGUACAGGGAGUAUCGACCCUUCCUGCGCCGUAGCUAACGCGUUAAGUUUCCCGCCUGGGGACUACGGUCGCAAGACUAAA
rnacentral:rRNA from 1 species